UUGAUCAUGGCUCAGGAUGAACGCUAGCUACAGGCUUAACACAUGCAAGUCGAGGGGCAGCGGGAUUGAAGCUUGCUUCAAUUGCCGGCGACCGGCGCACGGGUGAGUAACGCGUAUCCAACCUUCCGUACACUCAGGGAUAGCCUUUCGAAAGAAAGAUUAAUACCUGAUGGUACGAUGAGAUUGCAUGAUAGCAUCAUUAAAGAUUUAUCGGUGUACGAUGGGGAUGCGUUCCAUUAGGUAGUAGGCGGGGUAACGGCCCACCUAGCCAACGAUGGAUAGGGGUUCUGAGAGGAAGGUCCCCCACAUUGGAACUGAGACACGGUCCAAACUCCUACGGGAGGCAGCAGUGAGGAAUAUUGGUCAAUGGACGAGAGUCUGAACCAGCCAAGUAGCGUGAAGGAUGAAGGUCCUACGGAUUGUAAACUUCUUUUAUAAGGGAAUAAACCCUCCCACGUGUGGGAGCUUGUAUGUACCUUAUGAAUAAGCAUCGGCUAACUCCGUGCCAGCAGCCGCGGUAAUACGGAGGAUGCGAGCGUUAUCCGGAUUUAUUGGGUUUAAAGGGAGCGCA
rnacentral:rRNA from 1 species